ACUCAUAUAGUUAGUUGUAUAAAAUCCUAUAUAAAUGUGAGCAAACCUGUUGUAAUGACAAAUAAGCUAUAAAUAGUUAGAUGGAGAUGGAUAAAUGGCUAAUUACAUGGAAACUAUGAGAGGUGAUUGCAUAUUGACAUAUGGAAUAGGAGAGCGAAUCCGCCGAAUUUAAGCAUAUAAUUAAGCGGGAGAAAAGAAAAUAACAAUGAUUCCUUUAGUAACGGCGAGUGAACAAGGAAAAGCUCAAAAGGAAAAUCCGCUUUGUGGUGAAAACUGCAGUGUGGAAUUGUCUGGUUGAGGGGUUCAUCAUUUUCUAUUUUAUUUGCUGGGUUGUGAAAUGAGUAGGAACGCUAUUCCAUAGAGGGUGAAAGACCCGUAACUCCCAACAUAUUUAGAAAAUGAUGAUUCUCUAUAGAGUCGUGUUCUUUGAGAUUGGAGCACAAAUGUGUGUGAUACAUUUCACAUAAAGCUAAAUAUAUGUAGGAAACCGAUAGUAAACAAGUACCGUGAGGGAAAGAUGAAAUAGCACUUAGGAAUAAGACUUAAAUAAUACCUGAAAUCGUUAAGAUGGAACGGAUUGAGAGAGAAAAAACGUAAGGAUAGAAAUUCAUUUCUUAAUAUACAGAAUUAUGAUUUAAUUUCGAAACUUAUUAAAAGAAGCAUCAGUGAACUUUAGGGUUAUAAAAUAUAAAGCCUUGUUCCGUUUAUUCAUAUAAUACACAUGUAUUGUAUUUAUAACGGAUAUCGUGUUACGUCCGCUAAAAAUGGUUGGAUAACGAGCUAUUUUUAUAAUUCAGUUUACUGAGGGUUUAUUACAAUCUUAGGGAUGUCCUCAUAUCCUCGUGGGGGGUCCUCUAUUGAUUUAAGUUGCUUCUAAAAAGUACUUUCUUAACCCACCCGUCUUGAAACACGGACCAAGGAGUCUAACAAAUGUGCGAGCGUAUAUAUGUUUUAACUAUUAAUAAAAGAAACAUUUCAACCUUUUAUAAUACGCGUAAUUAAAGUGUAAAGAGCUUAACCUUUUGUAGAACAUACUAGAUUGAUCCAUUAUAUUUUCACGUGGCGACUGAAAAAUAAUGUGCUUCAGUUAAGUAUAUGCAUACAGAUCCCGUUUGACAAACGUCAAACCGAGAGUGAGUAUAUUUGUUAGGACCCGAGAGGCUUUGAACUAAGCGUGGUGAGAUUGAAGUCGGGUGAAAGCCUGAUGGAGGAUCGAAUUGAUACUGACGUGCAAAUCGUUCAUUUCAAUCACGUUUAGGGGCGAAAGACUAAUCGAAAAGCCUAUUAGCUGGUUAUUUUCGAAAGAUCUCUUAGGAUCGCUGGAGUUUAUUAAAUAGUUUUACGAGGUAGAGAUAAUGAUUAAAGGUCCCAGUGGAACAUUCCACUGUCCUAUUCUCAAACUCCCAAUACGUAACAUGGGAUAAUAUCUUAACUGUAAUUUUCUCAUUAUAAAUAAAGAACUCCUAGUAGGCCAUUUUUGGUAAGCAGAACUGGCGAUGAGGGAUGCUCCUAACGCUUGGAUAAGGUGCCUAAAUAUUCGUUAAUAGAUACCAUGAAAGGUGUUGAUUCAUAGUGACAGUAGGACGGUUAUCAUUGAAGUCGAAAUCCGCCAAGGAGUGUGUAACAACUCACCUACCGAAUGAACCAGCCCUGAAAAUGGAUGGCGCUAAAACGGAUUACCGAUACCAAGCCAUAGAAAGAGAUUUAAGGGUUAUUUGGGUUCGCCCGACUAAUCUUUUUUUAAUCUUUCUAUGAGUAGAAAAUCGUGGGGUUUGUGUAGAAGCAUGAUGCGUGAGCUCUUGUGGAACAUAUCCCUAGUGCAGAUCUUGGUGGAAGUAGCAAAUAUUCAAAUGAGAACUUUGAAGACUGAAGUGGAGAAGGGUUUCUUGGCAACUUUGAUUGUACAAGAGUUAGCCGCUCCUAAGGGAAAGCUGAAAAGCAUUUAAAUUGGGAUUUGGCGUAGCAACUGUUGCGUCUUGUCUCGGUCCCAAAAGGGAAACAGGUUAAUAUUCCUGUGCCUAGGUUAAUGUUAUAUAUGGAAGAUGGUAACAUAAAUUGGAAUGAACUUCUUAACGCAGGUUUUUCGAUCGAGAUGCGUUAUCUUUGCAUUUUAACUUAUAGCAAACACCUUGGAAUCAAUUUAAUUGGAGAAAAGGUUUGCUGAAUUGCAAUUCAUGAUGUUUUUAAUUGUCGGGAUAAAUACCUUAUUCCACAUUUAAAAAAUAGUGUUUUGUAGUAAUAGUAAUUCAUUAUUAUGAAUUAUUCGAUUUGUAAAAACUGCCCUUGAAAAAAGAAGGGAACAGCUAUAUGUAGUGGGCGUAUUGUGAACAUUUCAUGAGAUUAUAUACGAAGACGAACGUUGCUUGUUAAGCGGUAAUUUUCUUAUUUGUAUAUAACCCUCAUGAAAAUGGUCCAAUAUUGUUACAUUAUGAUAGCAUAGAUAACGAUGCCAUUUAGAGCGUACCCAUAACCGCAUCAGGUCUCCUAGGUUAACAGCCUCUGGUUAAAUAGAAAAACGUAAGUAAGGGAAGUUAGCAAAAUAGAUCCGUAACUUCGGGAAAAGGAUUGGCUCUGAUGGCAUAGAGUAAAGAAGUUAACAUUAACAUCUGAAUAAGAUAUUAUGAGUGUGUUAUGGUUCGCCAUAUACAUUUAUAUUAUCCGUUUUUCUUAUGUUUUUUUAUCUAAAACUUUAUUCACGACCAUAUAAAAACCCUUCAUCAUGCCUCUUUCGCAUGGGCUGUGUUUUAAUAUGGUAUAUAAAUGUCAGCUCAGAACUGAAACGGACAAGGGGAAUCCGACUGUUUAAUUAAAACAUAGCAUUGUGAAAAGCCAGAAAUGGUAUUGACACAAUGUGAUUUCUGCCCAGUGCCAUGAAUGUCAACUUGAUGAAAUUCAAUAAAGCACAGGUAAACGGCGGGGGUAACUAUGACUCUCUUAAGGUAGCCAAAUGUCUCGUCAUAAUUAGUGACGUGCAUGAAUGGAUUAACGAGAUUCUCACUGUCCCUACUUGCGAUCUAGCGAAACCACAGCCAAGGGAUCGGGCUUGGCUAAAUCAGCGGGGAAAGAAGACCCUGUUGAGCUUUACUCUAGUCUGGCUUUGUGAAACGACUUAAGAGGUGUAGCAUAAGUGGGAGCAGAGAUUGAAAUAUAUUUUUGCGACAGUGAAAUACCACUACUUUUAAUGUUGUUUUACUCAUCUAUUUAUAGGGAUUAAUACAGGAUAAUCCAAGACUGGCUUGGCCCUGUGUUAUCAUUAUGAGUGUUGUAUGAUAACUGCAAGGUUGUUUGUUUUCCCAUAAAACGAAUAUAGAGACAUAGCCAGAUGGGGAGUUUGACUGGGGCGGUACAUCUGUUAAAAAAUAACAUAGAUGUCCAAAGACAAGCUCAAAGAGAACAGAAAUCUCUUGUAGACUAAAAGGGGAAAAGCUUGUUUGAUUUCGACUUUCAGAAAAAGUGGAAAACGUGAAAGCGUGGCCUAUCGAUCCUUUGAUAUUGCAAAAUUAUAAGACCUCUUGGUCUCUUUGUGCAUACAGAGGUGUCUGAAAAGUUACCACAGGGAUAACUAGCUUGUGGCUGCCAAGCGUUUUUAGCGACGUAGCUUUUUGAUCUUUCGAUGUCGGCUCUUCCUAUCAUUGGGACGCAGAAGUCCCAAAGUGUCGGAUUGUUCACCCGCUAAUAGGGAACGUGAGCUGGGUUUAGACCGUCGUGAGACAGGUUAGUUUUACCCUACUGAUGAAUUAUUAUUUUUAUAUAUAUAAUGUAUUGUGACAGUAAUCCAACUUGGUACGAGAGGAAUAGUUGGUUCAGACAGUUGGUACAGCGAUUGGUUGACAAACCAGUGUUGCGAAGCUAAGUCUGUUGGAUAAUGGCUGAACGCCUCUUAAGCCAGAACCCAUGCUGAUUAAACAGUAUUAUUUUGUUCUUCUUUGACUUACUGCUGAUUUAAAAGCGAAACUAUAUGUAUAAUACUUGUUAUAUACAAUUUAUACAAUUAAUCCUAUUGCCAUUUGGAGGAGGAGUCAUGCCUCCUUUUGGUUCUUGU
rnacentral:rRNA from 1 species